GACGAACGCUGGCGGCGUGCUUAACACAUGCAAGUCGAACGGAAAGGCCCUGCCUUUGUGGGGUGCUCGAGUGGCGAACGGGUGAGUAACACGUGAGUAACCUGCCCUUGACUUUGGGAUAACUUCAGGAAACUGGGGCUAAUACCGGAUAGGAGCUCCUGCUGCAUGGUGGGGGUUGGAAAGUUUCGGCGGUUGGGGAUGGACUCGCGGCUUAUCAGCUUGUUGGUGGGGUAGUGGCUUACCAAGGCUAUGACGAGUAGCCGGCCUGAGAGGAUGACAGGCCACAUUAGGACUGAGAUGCGACACAGACUCCACCGGGAGGCAGCGGUGGGGAGUAGUGCAUAGUGGGAGGGAGCCUGAUGCGGCAACGCCGCGUGGGGGAUGACGGGCUGCGGGUUGUAAACCACUUUCGCCUGUGACGAAGCGUGAGUGACGGUAAUGGGUGAAGAAGCACCGGCUAACUACGUG
rnacentral:rRNA from 1 species